rnacentral:rRNA from 1 species
UGGUGAAAGUUUGUGGCUCAACCAUAAAAUCGCCAUUGAUACUGUUAUUCUUGAGUUUAUUGUGAAGUGGUUAGAAUGUGUAGUGUAGCGGUGAAAUGCAUAGAUAUACACAGAAUACCAAUUGCGAAGGCAGAUCACUAACAAUGAACUGACGCUGAUGGACGAAAGCGUAGGUAGCGAACAGGAUUAGAUACCCUGGUAGUCUACGCAGUAAACGAUGGUUACUAGCUGUUUGGCAUAAUUGAGUGCUGAGUGGUUAAGCGAAAGUGAUAAGUAACCCACCUGGGGAGUACGUUCGCAAGAAUGAAACUCAAAGGAAUUGACGGGGGCCCGCACAAGCGGUGGAGCAUGUGGUUUAAUUCGAUGAUACGCGAGGAACCUUACCAGGGCUUAAAUGCAGUCUGACAGGGGUGGAAACACCUUUUUCUUCGGACAGAUUGCAAGGUGCUGCAUGGUUGUCGUCAGCUCGUGCCGUGAGGUGUCAGGUUAAGUCCUAUAACGAGCGCAACCCCUAUGGUUAGUUGCUAGCAGGUCAUGCUGAGAACUCUAGCCAGACUGCCGGUGUAAACCGCGAGGAAGGUGGGGAUGACGUCAAAUCAUCACGGCCCUUACGUCCUGGGCUACACACGUGCUACAAUGGUAUGUACAAUGAGCAGCCACCACGCGAGUGGGCGCAAAUCUCAAAAGCAUAUCACAGUUCGGAUCGGAGUCUGCAACUCGACUCCGUGAGGCUGGAAUCGCUAGUAAUCGCACAUCAGCCAUGGUGCGGUGAAUACGUUCACCGGGCCUUGUACACACCGCCCGUCAAGCCAUGGAAGCUGGGGGUGCCUGAAGUUCGUCACCGCAAGGAGCGACCUAGG